rnacentral:lncRNA from 1 species
AAUCAAUGCUCAAAUAACUAUGUUGAAAAAGGGUGUAUAACAGUAUAAAUCAAUGUAUCUGUGGCCAAUGUAACAGCUUCAUACAACAAAAUCAUUGUUCCUUUUUUCCUUCUUUUUUUCCAGUGGCUAGCGUUUGGUUUAUUGCAUUUAGUGGAAAUAGCAAUAUACAGAAACAAAUGAUCAAAUAAAAAAAUAGGCUAACAUGUAUUCAAUUUAAUGAUCGCUAGGCAAGAUGUAGAUGUUCUCCUGCGCUUCGUACCCCAGCAGAUGUCCAGCGUUGUCACAAUUUUCUUUUUGCUACCCAGAUAGCCUUGACAAUUCGAAGCUCCACAAUUGCACUUCACUUCUGGUCCAAACUGCACAAAUCUGCGUACAAGAACAAAUCAGAUGUUUAUUCGGAUUGAAAACCAUAAUAUAUGCUGCAGAUUGAGCUAAUUAGCCAAAUGCAUAUGUUGUGAAGUUCGCUAGGCAAGAUGUAGAUGUUCUUCCUGCGUUUCGUACCCCAGCAGAUGUCCAACGUCGUCACAAUUUUCUUUUUGCUACCCAAAUAGCCUUGACAAUUCGAAGCUCCAUAAUUGCACUUUACUUCUGGUCCA